rnacentral:rRNA from 1 species
GACGAACCGAGCGAACGUUGUUCGGAAUCACUGGGCUUAAAGGGCGCGUAGGCGGGUGCUCAAGUCCGGGGUGAAAUCCUCCAGCUCAACUGGAGAACUGCCUCGGAUACUGGGUGUCUCGAGUGUGGUAGGGGUAUGCGGAACUAUCGGUGGAGCGGUGAAAUGCGUUGAUAUCGAUAGGAACUCCGGUGGCGAAGGCGGCAUACUGGACCACUACUGACGCUGAUGCGCGAAAGCCAGGGGAGCAAACGGG